rnacentral:rRNA from 1 species
CACGCCGUAAACGAUGAGCACUAGGUGUCGGGGUCGCAAGACUUCGGUGCCGCAGUUAACGCAUUAAGUGCUCCGCCUGGGGAGUACGCACGCAAGUGUGAAACUCAAAGGAAUUGACGGGGACCCGCACAAGCAGCGGAGCAUGUGGUUUAAUUCGAAGCAACGCGAAGAACCUUACCAGGACUUGACAUCCCUCUGACAGUCCCUUAACCGGGAUUUCCUUCGGGCAGAGGUGACAGGUGG